GUGCCGGCUUUGGCAGCACAUGUACUAAAAUUGGAACGAUACGGAGAAGAUUAGCAUGGCCCCUGCGCAAGGAUAACGUUCAAAUUCAUGAAGCGUUCCAUGUUUUU